rnacentral:rRNA from 1 species
AACGAACGCUGGCGGCAGGCCUAACACAUGCAAGUCGAGCGAAGCCUUCGGGCUUAGCGGCGGACGGGUGAGUAACGCGUGGGAACGUGCCCUUUGGUACGGAAUAGCCCCGGGAAACUGGGAGUAAUACCGUAUGUGGUCGAGAGACGAAAGAUUUAUCGCCAAAGGAUCGGCCCGCGUUGGAUUAGGUAGUUGGUGGGGUAAUGGCCUACCAAGCCGACGAUCCAUAGCUGGUUUGGGAGGAUGAUCAGCCACACUGGGACUGAGACACGGCCCAGACUCCUACGGGAGGCAGCAGUGGGGAAUCUUAGGCAAUGGGGGAAACCCUGAUCUAGCCAUGCCGCGUGAUCGAUGAAGGCCUUAGGGUUGUAAAGAUCUUUCAGUGGGGAAGAUAAUGACUGUACCCACAGAAGAAGCCCCGGCUAACUCCGUGCCAGCCGCCGCAGUAAGAC